GCAGGACUUUUUUAUUCAGUUGAUGCGGCAAGAUCGAACACCAACAACAUAAUAUCAUGGUAAUCACCCAGCAAGAGAACGCAGUGAUAAUGGGCCAACAGAAAACACAACAUCAAGAUGCUCGGAAAGGACUUUCUCUUUCGAACAAACAUAAUGGCACGUCAUGUUCAAUCGGCUAACCGUUUGGAAUAAGCGCUCAUCAUCGGUUUCAUGGCAGGGAAGUGAGCAGGCAA